rnacentral:miRNA from 1 species
GAUGCUUAUGGUACGGCUGGUCCGAAAGUUUAAAAGUCGCUUAGUAAGCUAUAACCGAUAAUCGUUGGGAUAACGAAGAGUCCUGGAGUGGAGACCGUGGAUUGGUUAACGUAGUUUACAAUUCCCCGUAACGAGGUUUGUCUAUCUCUCUCAUAUCGGGAUGGAUGUAAUGUGCUCUGCGUAAACCCUGUCCCGCCGUCUCAAUAACUCCGACUGGGUUCCCACCCGGUCCGGGGUAGGGCGCCGGCUGUGAGCGGCAGGAGUUUUUAGUGAGGUUCGACUCCCACAUACCCCACCUGCCGUGCGGGUGGGGAUCCGGCGAUUUUCUCCUGUGGAAAAAAAAAUCUCUCUCAUAUAUUGGAUGCUAUACGUUCAGGAGUUGUUUUGAAAUCGCCUUUUUUUAAUUGACUCUAGCAUUCUAUAUCUAUGGAGAGCGUCCUGUAGUCUGACACAAUGUAAACGCCAUCAUUCACGUUGAGAUAUUAGGUGGAAAUCAUAUCAUCUUAAUGUAACGCGAGAAAUGAUCACGAGAAUAUUUGGCUUUUUGAGAUUAGCGUUGCCUUAAAAUUGUGGAUUUUAUUUUUUUAAGCUGUUUUUAAUUUCAUUCCCACUAAAUAUUCAUUUGCAGAUAAAGAACGAGACGUUCACGCGGCAACAGAGAAAAUAAGAAACAAAAUGGAAGAAUUGAAACAUAGAAAUAACGACCUCCAAGACGAGAUAGCAAGACUCAAUGCUAAGGUACAAGAGGCACUGGCCGGGCUACAAGCGGCCAGUAGACUUGGAGAUCAAGUCGAAACCAAAACCGCGCAAAUAAAUGACUUGAAGGAACAAGGUUGGUUUGGUUUUGUUUUAGUUCUACUCUAUCUUUUAAAUUAAUAAUAAAAUCAAUAGAUAUAUUUUUUAGCUUUAAAUUUUAUUGUCUGUUCAUCUAGUUAGUUAUCGAUUGCCGAUAUAUACCUUUAUCGUUACCCAUGAAUAUCAGCAUUACCAGGGUCACAGCUAAUCCGUAGCCUGCCCUAAGUAAAAAGCUUCGCUUUGAAACCCUCCUAACUCGUAUUUUAAUGGUAAAACAAGCUAAAUAAGUGCCAUAUAUGCAACAUUACAGUCUUAACAGUGCGCUUUAUCGAAUGCAUCUAUUCAAUUUGACUGUUCAUUGUAAAAUAAUGUGAACAACUUAAAAAUCGUGUUAAAUUUUUGCAGAUUGUCAAAUUAUUAUUAUCGACACUUAUUAGUAGCCACCAUGGCAAUGUUGUAGGUAAUGAAUAGUUGCAAAGUUUUAGAUUUGCCAGUAUUUUUUAUUGUAGUAAGUACUGUAGUUGUAUUAGUGUUGUUUAAGAACAAAGUAUUGAAGUUGCACUUCUUUUGGCACGUUGAAAUUGAUAGUGUGUUUUGUAGUUCUAGACUGUAUACGCUAUUUUAGCUUAACGUAAUUGUGUCAUAUCUUAUAUUUAGCGGUUAAAGUUGCAUUAAAUAGGUCAUUUUUACGUUUUUUACACAUUUUUUUGGUUUUCUUCAAUAUCUUUGGCAUUUCAUUAAUGGUCUUAAACAGUUUAAGCCUGCCAGAGAAGUAUUACUUCUAACUUAUGCAUAUAAAUAUACAUUCUCUUGGAUAUGUCUAGUUUGCCUUGUGUCUAUUAUAACUAUGAUAGACAAUGUCUAAAUUUUGAAUCUUACAUAAGAAUGAAUAGAUUCGAUCAAUGGGUAUCAGC